rnacentral:rRNA from 1 species
UACGUAGGGUGCAAGCGUUAAUCGGAAUUACUGGGCGUAAAGCGUGCGCAGGCGGUUUUGUAAGUCAGAUGUGAAAUCCCCGGGCUUAACCUGGGAACUGCAUUUGUGACUGCACGGCUAGAGUACGGCAGAGGGGGAUGGAAUUCCGCGUGUAGCAGUGAAAUGCGUAGAUAUGCGGAGGAACACCAAUGGCGAAGGCAGUCCCCUGGGCCUGUACUGACGCUCAUGCACGAAAGCGUGGGGAGCAAACAGG